rnacentral:rRNA from 1 species
GAUGAACGCUAGCGGCAGGCCUAAUACAUGCAAGUCGAACGAGAUUAAGAGGCUUGCUUCUUAUGAAAGUGGCGCACGGGUGCGUAACGCGUAUGCAACCUACCUUAAUCAGGGGGAUAGCCCGAAGAAAUUCGGAUUAAGACCGCAUAAAAACACAGGAUAGCAUUAUCCAAUGUUCAAAUAUUUAUAGGAUUAAGAUGGGCAUGCGUGUCAUUAGCUAGUUGGCGGGGUAACGGCCCACCAAGGCGACGAUGACUAGGGGAUCUGAGAGGAUGACCCCCCACACUGGUACUGAGACACGGACCAGACUCCUACGGGAGGCAGCAGUAAGGAAUAGUGAUCAAUGGAGGGAACUCUGAACCAGCCAUGCCGCGUGCAGGAAGACAGCCCUCUGGGUCGUAAACUGCUUUUAUUCGGGAAUAAACCUUUCUACGUGUAGGAAGCUGAAUGUACCGAAGGAAUAAGGAUCGGCUAACUCCGUG